rnacentral:rRNA from 1 species
AACGAACGCUGGCGGCAUGCCUAACACAUGCAAGUCGAACGAGACCUUCGGGUCUAGUGGCGCACGGGUGCGUAACGCGUGGGAAUCUGCCCUUGGGUCCGGAAUAACUCAGAGAAAUUUGAGCUAAUACCGGAUGAUGACGUAAGUCCAAAGAUUUAUCGCCCAGGGAUGAGCCCGCGUAGGAUUAGCUAGUUGGUGAGGUAAAGGCUCACCAAGGCGACGAUCCUUAGCUGGUCUGAGAGGAUGAUCAGCCACACUGGGACUGAGACACGGCCCAGACUCCUACGGGAGGCAGCAGUGGGGAAUAUUGGACAAUGGGCGAAAGCCUGAUCCAGCAAUGCCGCGUGAGUGAUGAAGGCCUUAGGGUUGUAAAGCUCUUUUACCCGGGGAUGAUAAUGACAGUACCGGGAGAAUAAGCCCCGGCUAACUCCGUGCCAGCAGCCGC